rnacentral:rRNA from 1 species
GAUGAACGCUGGCGGCGUGCCUAAUACAUGCAAGUCGAGCGAACGGACGAGAAGCUUGCUUCUCUGAUGUUAGCGGCGGACGGGUGAGUAACACGUGGAUAACCUACCUAUAAGACUGGGAUAACUUCGGGAAACCGGAGCUAAUACCGGAUGAUAUUUUGAACCGCAUGGUUCAAAAGUGAAAGACGGUCUUGCUGUCACUUAUAGAUGGAUCCGCGCUGCAUUAGCUAGUUGGUAAGGUAAUGGCUUACCAAGGCAACGAUGCAUAGCCGACCUGAGAGGGUGAUCGGCCACACUGGGACUGAGACACGGUCCAGACUCCUACGGGAGGCAGCAGUAGGGAAUCUUCCGCAAUGGGCGAAAGCCUGACGGAGCAACGCCGCGUGAGUGAUGAAGGUCUUCGGAUCGUAAAACUCUGUUAUUAGGGAAGAACAUAUGUGUAAGUAACUGUGCACAGCUUGACGGUACCUAAUCAGAAAGCCACGGCUAACUACGUG